AAAUUGAAGAGUUUGAUCAUGGCUCAGAUUGAACGCUGGCGGCAGGCCUAACACAUGCAAGUCGAACGGUAACAGGAAGCAGCUUGCUGCUUCGCUGACGAGUGGCGGACGGGUGAGUAAUGUCUGGGAAACUGCCUGAUGGAGGGGGAUAACUACUGGAAACGGUGGCUAAUACCGCAUAACGUCGCAAGACCAAAGAGGGGGACCUUCGGGCCUCUUGCCAUCAGAUGUGCCCAGAUGGGAUUAGCUUGUUGGUGAGGUAACGGCUCACCAAGGCGACGAUCCCUAGCUGGUCUGAGAGGAUGACCAGCCACACUGGAACUGAGACACGGUCCAGACUCCUACGGGAGGCAGCAGUGGGGAAUAUUGCACAAUGGGCGCAAGCCUGAUGCAGCCAUGCCGCGUGUAUGAAGAAGGCCUUCGGGUUGUAA
rnacentral:rRNA from 2 species